rnacentral:rRNA from 1 species
CAGAUUGAACGCUGGCGGCAUGCUUUACACAUGCAAGUCGAACGGUAACAGGGAGCUUGCUCCGCUGACGAGUGGCGAACGGGUGAGUAAUGCGUCGGAACGUGCCGAGUAGUGGGGGAUAACUAUCCGAAAGGAUAGCUAAUACCGCAUACGCUUUGAGAAGGAAAGCAGGGGAUCGUAAGACCUUGCGCUAUUCGAGCGGCCGACGUCUGAUUAGCUAGUUGGUGAGGUAAGAGCUCACCAAGGCGACGAUCAGUAGCGGGUCUGAGAGGAUGAUCCGCCACACUGGGACUGAGACACGGCCCAGACUCCUACGGGAGGCAGCAGUGGGGAAUUUUGGACAAUGGGCGCAAGCCUGAUCCAGCCAUGCCGCGUGUCUGAAGAAGGCCUUCGGGUUGUAAAGGACUUUUGUCAGGGAGGAAAUCCCUAAGGUUAAUACCCUUGGGGGAUGACAGUACCUGAAGAAUAAGCACCGGCUAACUACGUGCCAGCAGCCGCGGUAA